CGAUCGGAUAGUGCGGGAAACCGCAUGAAACUCGCCUGCAAUCCCGGCAUCACCGCGCAAGCGGUGUGGCGACUUCACUUCUGCCUUCUGGCAGUAUCAAA
rnacentral:ncRNA from 1 species